rnacentral:rRNA from 1 species
UACGGAGGGUGCAAGCGUUAUCCGGAUUCACUGGGUUUAAAGGGUGCGUAGGUGGGUCUGUAAGUCAGUGGUGAAAUCUUCGAGCUUAACUCGGAAACUGCCAUUGAUACUAUAGAUCUUGAAUCUUCUGGAGGUAAGCGGAAUAUGUCAUGUAGCGGUGAAAUGCUUAGAUAUGACAUAGAACACCAAUUGCGAAGGCAGCUUACUACGGGAACAUUGACACUGAGGCACGAAAGCGUGGGGAUCAAACAGG